CUCCGCUGGUCAAGUAGUCCCUACUUUGUCUUAUGUUUUCAAAGAAAAUUAGAGCAGACAGGAAGAAAUGAAGAACAGAUCCUGACAGAGGGAGAAAAGAGGAAUCAAUUAAAGAAAGGUAAGUUGGGCAUGAAAAGUACUUUAGAUAAGAGGCUAAACAAGAGAUAUUUCCUAGAUCGUGGGAAUACUGUACAUAAACUGUAAAUCCUGGCUGUUUGUA